rnacentral:rRNA from 1 species
GUAGUCUCGCACAGAUGCAUAUCAAUAAGCGGAGGAAAAGAAACUAACAAGGAUUCCCUUAGUAACGGCGAGGUGAAGCGGGAAGAGCUCAAAUUUGAAAUCUUCAAGGUUUUACCUUGACGAAUUGUAGUUUAAAGAAGUGUUUUCUGUUGAAGUUUUGGUAAAAGUUCUUUGGAAUAGGACAUCAUAGAGGGUGAGAAUCCCGUAUUUGACCAUUAUUUUCAGCUGUGUGAUACACUUUCAAAGAGUCGGAUUGUUUGGGAAUGCAGUCCAAAAUGGGUGGUAAAUUUCAUCUAAAGCUAAAUAUUGGCGAGGAGACCGAUAGCGAACAAGUACCGUGAGGGAAAGAUGAAAAGAACUUUGAAAAGAGAGUUAAACAGUACGUGAAAUUGUCAAAAGGGAAGCGUUUGACACCAGUGUUGUUUUCUCGAAAAUCAAUUAAAAAGAGUUUAGAUUUUGUUGUGUGUAUUGACCUUAACAGCUUGCAUUUCAAUUUUCUUGCUUUUUUUAAUGCACUUUUCGUUUAACAAGUCAACAUCAGUUUCUUUUGUUGUAAAAAGGUCAUUGGAAGGUGGCUUUCUUUUCGGAGAAAGUGUUUAUAGCCUUUGACUCCUGCAAUACGGAGAGACUGAGGUCUGCAGCGUAGAUCCUUCGGGGUUAGAUACAUUUGUGCUAAGUUAUAGCUUUUUAUAGACAACUUGUUGACUAUGAUUAGUCUUGUAGCUUACUCGCUUAUGCUAUUUUACCUACGCUUAGGAUGUUGAGCGCAUGUCUCUCUCU